AACGGGCCUUCUCGAUCCAUCGGGUCCACCACCGCCACUUCUUUCUCCCCCUCCUCCUUCAAUUUGCGCUCAGAUUACUUGAAGUUCUUCCCAACUUCCCGACAAUUAUGCAUCAGCCGUCGGAAGAUCGGACGGUGAAGAAACGCAUGGGAACGCAGCCGUGACGAGGCUGUUUCGAUCCGACGCAAACUUACCAUAGUUGUUGUGGAUGUUCGAAACCACUACAGAGAAGGGAGUUCUUGGCUGCUGAGGAGGAAAUGCUACUCUGCAUUUCCCAUACGAUCUCUCUCCAAUGUUGCAAGCUUCUAUAAGAUCAGGAACUUGAGUCCUCCUGCUAUACAAAAGAAGUGGUCUUACUAUGUAGAACAGUUACUUCAUGGAAGUUUCUUCGGAGAGAGACUUGCAGGUUACCUCAGCCUUUUUGUAUGUACUGCGCUUUCUGAUGUUUCCUCCAAGAUGGAUGUAUUGUAGGAGAUGACCCUUUUGUUAUUGGUGUUGAUGAAUGCAAAGUUAUUUUCUUU